rnacentral:rRNA from 1 species
AGACCCGAAACCCGGUGAUCUAGCCAUGGGCAGGUUGAAGGUUGGGUAACACUAACUGGAGGACCGAACCGACUAAUGUUGAAAAAUUAGCGGAUGACCUGUGGCUGGGGGUGAAAGGCCAAUCAAACCGGGAGAUAGCUGGUUCUCCCCGAAAGCUAUUUAGGUAGCGCCUCGUGAAUUCAUCUCCGGGGGUAGAGCACUGUUUCGGCUAGGGGGCCAUCCCGGCUUACCAACCCGAUGCAAACUGCGAAUACCGGAGAAUGUUAUCACGGGAGACACACGGCGGGUGCUAACGUCCGUCGUGAAGAGGGAAACAACCCAGACCGCCAGCUAAGGUCCCAAAGUCAUGGUUAAGUGGGAAACGAUGUGGGAAGGCCCAGACAGCCAGGAUGUUGGCUUAGAAGCAGCCAUCAUUUAAAGAAAGCGUAAUAGCUCACUGGUCGAGUCGGCCUGCGCGGAAGAUGUAACGGGGCUAAACCAUGCACCGAAGCUGCGGCAGCGAACGUAUCACUUAAAGCGAUUCAGCGGGUUACGAUUGACGGAGCGAAGCGACGUCAAAGCGUAUACAAAGUCGAGUCGGUUUAAGGAUACGUUCGUUGGGUAGGGGAGCGUUCUGUAAGCCUGUGAAGGUGUGUCGUGAGGCAUGCUGGAGGUAUCAGAAGUGCGAAUGCUGACAUAAGUAACGAUAAAGCGGGUGAAAAGCCCGCUCGCCGGAAGACCAAGGGUUCCUGUC